AGGUUUAUGACCAUAAAAGGAAGGUUGGGAUUGAUUUUGGGAGUUUUGGUCCAAACAGUUUAGGAAUUAGGGGCCAAAAAGGGCCCAAAUAAGCAUUUUUCUUGGUUUUCUCACAAUAACUUUAGUAUAAGUAAACAGAAAUCUAUGAAAUUUUAAAAUAAGGUUUAUGACUACAAAAGGAAGAUUGGGAUUGAUUUGGGG
rnacentral:lncRNA from 1 species